ACACAUGCAAGUCGAGGGGCAGCAUGAUUGAAGCUUGCUUCAAUUGAUGGCGACCGGCGCACGGGUGAGUAACGCGUAUCCAACCUUCCGUACACUCAGGGAUAGCCUUUCGAAAGAAAGAUUAAUACCUGAUGGUAUGAUGAGAUUGCAUGAUAUCAUCAUUAAAGAUUCAUCGGUGUACGAUGGGGAUGCGUUCCAUUAGGUAGUAGGCGGGGUAACGGCCCACCUAGCCUACGAUGGAUAGGGGUUCUGAGAGGAAGGUCCCCCACAUUGGAACUGAGACACGGUCCAAACUCCUACGGGAGGCAGCAGUGAGGAAUAUUGGUCAAUGGACGAGAGUCUGAACCAGCCAAGUAGCGUGAAGGAUGAAGGUCCUACGGAUUGUAAACUUCUUUUAUAAGGGAAUAAAACCUCCCACGUGUGGGAGCUUGUAUGUACCUUAUGAAUAAGCAUCGGCUAACUCCGUGCCAGCAGCCGCGGUAAUACGGAGGAUGCGAGCGUUAUCCGGAUUUAUUGGGUUUAAAGGGAGCGCAGACGGGUCGUUAAGUCAGCUGUGAAAGUUUGGGGCUCAACCUUAAAAUUGCAGUUGAUACUGGCGUCCUUGAGUGCGGUUGAGGUGUGCGGAAUUCGUGGUGUAGCGGUGAAAUGCUUAGAUAUCACGAAGAACUCCGAUUGCGAAGGCAGCACACUAAGCCGUAACUGACGUUCAUGCUCGAAAGUGUGGGUAUCAAACAGGAUUAGAUACCCUGGUAGUCCACACGGUAAACGAUGGAUACUCGCUGUUGGCGAUAUACAGUCAGCGGCUUAGCGAAAGCGUUAAGUAUCCCACCUGGGGAGUACGCCGGCAACGGUGAAACUCAAAGGAAUUGACGGGGGCCCGCACAAGCGGAGGAACAUGUGGUUUAAUUCGAUGAUACGCGAGGAA
rnacentral:rRNA from 1 species